CUUGCCUGCUGCCCUACCAAAGCAAAAUUAGGUUAUUUGUGAAUGAACAUUACCUCUUCAGCAAUCUGAUGGAUUUACAGGCUUGUUUGUUUCGUUGGUGGCUUGCUGCUCGGGUUCUUUGUUGAUUUUGUUGGAUGUGUGUGCUGUUUACCAACAAGGAGCUUCAGAAGGGUUGCUCACCAAUGAACUAGAAGAUUGUUUUGUCCUGGGCACUCACAUGAUUAAGGAAGAAAUUGGUUAUUCCUGGAUGUGCUAUGCAGAUCAAAGAUUUUGCAGGUUAUUUAGCCAUUCCC